UGCGCCAGCCUCCGCCUCGUGCCUGCGCGCUCGGCUCCGCACUGAAGGGUCGGGCGCCUCCCUUAUCCAGGCCUCCAAGUGAGGAGUCAUGGGGCCUAACCUGGCAGCAGAUUUGCUUAUUCAAAGCAUCACUAAUUCCUUGAACUAUGUACUGAAGAUGGAUUCCUUUAAAAUGCCAAUGGCAACUAUUCAUAGGACUAUAUAUUUUGUUGCUUGCAACACUGAUUUCUAGAAGUCUCUCACUCUCAUUCUCACACACUUAUACACAGACACACCUCACAUAAAGUUGUUGAGAUUGAUAUCCUAACAAGCCAUCUGUCUGAGGGAACAGAAGUAAGUGUCAUAAACCAAAGGAAGCAAAAGGACCCAAAUGUUAAGUGAUAAGGCUGAGCAACAAACAAACAAGCAAGCCAUCUCCAAGGCAGCACCAUUUGUCCCAUAAGCCAAAGACAGAUGACUCUGUGGAAAAAUGUAGAUUGACAAAUUGACCAUUUCUGAAAUACAGCAAUACAUUAUAGCAGCCCUUCAGAAGUCUAUGUGACAAGUCACUCGGAACAAGCAACAAAACAGAACAAUUACAGAAACUACCAAAAGGCACUCACUGGUCCAGAUCAUUGUCUCAGCUGAACUAGUAAUCUGGAUCUUCGGACUAUCAAAUAUCAAGAGCGCUCUUGCACCCAGUGGCAUCUACAAGUAUGAGUAUGUUGUGGUCAACUUCACUCCAUUUCUUUAUGUCUGGAAGUGCUGGCAAUGCUUUGAUCAUGGUGGUAUGCCUCAUUAUACUUUGCAGAUUUUUUUGUACCCCCACAAACACUCAUGCUUUCAUCUGCAGAUUUCCCUAUUGGUCAAGAAACACGACAUUUGUAUAGCCUUAUGACUGAGUUCUUCAACCUGGAUGUCAAGCCCCACACAUCAGGCAAACUUAAGCAAGAAACACACAGAUUUCAGAAAGGCAUCUUAAAUGUGAAAACAUGUGAAAAUUGUAAAUGUAGUUUCCCAGGCAUACUUAAAACAAGCCAAUUAAGGAAGAAAAUUCCUUCCCACAGGCCCCCUGAGCUGAACUGCUUCUAUUUACAACCAUUGAACUCCUCCAACUGGUUCCCACUCUCACACUGCAUUCCUCUGGAAGCAGUCCUGAAGGAGACUUUGGCAAUAGUGACCUACACACUUUGAUCAGAUUGCUAAAUAAUGAUGGUGUGCCAUCAAAUUGCUAUUGACUCUCAGCAAUUAUAUUGACAGAUCUUCUUCAGAAUGGUAUGUGCCCAGCCUGGUCCUUCAGCUCUUCCAACACUGUUGUAAUUGAGUCCUCACACUUUGUUGCUGGCCAUUCUUGAUCCAAAAUGUAACAUUCCCCUUCUUGGUGGGUAAGAACUACUAUUUACAUUUUAAAGGCUCUAUAUUGACUAGCAGUAAACUUUCAGGUACAAAUUAAAGCUCUGUGUAGCUUGGUCCUCUUGUACCUGCAGAAUCAUCAAUUUUUAAUAGAUCAUACUUGUACAGUGCACACAUCUCAGGUUGGGAUGGCAAAGAUUCUUCCUGUGUACAAGAUUGAUGGAAAGAGCAAGAACUUUUUUUUUUCAUCAACCCAUGCAACUGUUUCCCACUUUAAGUUCAUAUUGUUUCAUGUCUGUGGGCCUAUAAAAAGCCUUAAAAAGUGAACUGUUCAAAAUAGCCAUUCUUUAAGCUUUGUCAUCAAUACCCUUGUUACUUCUGUUAUAUUAGUUUAUAUUGAGGUUAUGAAACCCUUUGACAGUUUUAAGGAUUAUAUAUUAUAUAUUUUCUGUGUCAUUUUGUUUUUCUGCUAUGAUGUUAUGUUAUAUACUACUAUAGUAGUAUGUGGAGUGUAAAGGUGUAUAAAUAAAUAAAUAAAACCUCCCAGAACUCCAAUAAUUUUCCAUGCUAAUUGAAGUUCUGAGGAUUGCAAUAGAGUGCACUUGAAGGGCUCCAGAAUGGAGAAAGCUUAUUUUUAAAAAUCUGCUAGAAUUAAUCACAGAUCAGCAAGCACUCAAGUGCUCUAAAAAAAAUCAUGUUGAAAUUUAUAAUUUGCUUUAUUUAAAAAUCACUGUAAAAACAUAGUUCACCAUCACACAGAGAGAAAAUGUGAAAUAAUUCAGGGAAAAGACUUGUUUUAAAGGAAAAAUUAUAUGUAAUAUUGUUUAGCAAUAUCAAUAGAAACCAGCAGCAGGUAUUUGGAGUUUAACCAUGGGAAAAAGGCUGUUUAAAGCAAUAUUAUAAUGUUUCAACUAAUCAUUGGCUCACCCUGAUUAUACAAAACAUUUAUGUAUUUAUUUAAAUGUACUGGCUCCCAAACUUCAAUGGACUCAGACAGAGCCCAAAACUAAACAUGACAUUAAAAAACACCUAAAAAUAUAAAAUCAACAGACAGCCCAGACUAAUAAUGAAAUCUGCAAAACAAAACGGGCAAUUAAACAAAUAACAAACAUAAACCUCAGGCCUGGGAUCAAAGCCAGGUUUUCAAAGCUCUGCUAGUUUCCCUAAGAGAGAGAGAGUGCCGUCUUUAUCUCUGGGGUGUGCUGUUCAGAGAGUGGGAGCCACAAAAGAGAUGGCACAUUGCCUACAUCCUACAAGAUGGCAACUUUUAUUGGAUUGAACGUCAAGUAUAUCCACUGUUGGAAUCUAUUGGGCUAUCAGAAGAAUUUGUAAGUAGAAUAUGGUGUGCUUGAAAUAUACCAAUCAAGUACCAUUUAAUACAUUUUGUGUGUGUGUGUGUGUGUUUGUGUCUGUAUGUGCAUAUAUAUUUAUAAAUAAUAUAUUCUAAAUAAUGGAUAUGUAGAACAGGGUGUUUAUAUGCAUAUACCUUCAUAUCAUUAACAGGACUUAGCUAUUCCUUGCUGUGAAAAAACCUAGAGCAUACUUGAUGAGUAUAAUACUUUCUACUUCUUCCAGCAGAAAGUGUUUUGUAAUAUUUUAGCAUAAAAGCAUACCUAGUAACUUCAUGGUUUAAACUAUGGCAUGCAGUGUUUAUUCAGAAUCCUCCCAGUUCUUCCUCCUUUGAAAAGUUGUUUUGCUUAAAAUUACUUUCUAAAAAUCAUCUCUGCUUCAGUAAUGCAAACAAAUAAUGCAAUGUGAAGCUUUUUAAAAUUCUGCCAAAGAAUAAUGUGAAUUAAAGGCAUCAAGGGAAACCAGUAGAAACAAGCAUAAAUAAAACAAAAAAAUUUCCAUUGUCCAUUUUAGGGCCCUCGUAGAUAUUUAGAAGAAGGACUUCAAUUUGAAGUUGCAUCUUUAAGAAAUGUCACAUCCAAAUCUAUUGGACCAAUUUGAAUGACUCAUGACCUCUCUCUGAUAUUUUUGAAUAGCAAACUAACAAAGUAAAGAUGGGCUAAAUAGGACAUUAUAUAUAUCUGGUGCAGAAAAAUAUGGGUUCACCAAUUCUAUUUCAUGAUACCAUUGCAAACCGGUAGUAAAGGUAGGUAGAACCCACCCCUGGAUAGGGCCCAAUGUUCAAGUCUGUCAAAAUCCUUCUGAAUCUUGAGUCUCUCUUCUAUUUCCUCCAGUUAAUUAUGGAGCAUAACUUCAGCAAGUAUAUUGUUUUUGCAUAUGCUGUAUUAAGAAGGUUAGGUUCAGGGAACUAUGCCAAGUAAUGAUGAUUGAAAGACGCUACAUCUCUAGAUCUUUUCCUCACCCUAUCUUCACAUUCUUGCCACAAUUCCAUAGGUAGAAUCAGUUGAAAGACAAUCUUAAUGAAAUCCUAUAAAGAGUAAUAUAAUACUUGACUGCACAGAUUGCAUAUUCCAGACUUCUCCACACUACCCAUUGGGCCAGAGAUCCCUUCUCUCUGUCCUUUCACUCCUGUUGUAUCACAGUACUAGGUUUAUGACUUAUGACUAUUUUUCACACUUAUGACCGUUGCAGCAUUCCCAUAGUCAAGUGAUCAAAAUUUGGACACUUAGCAACUGGUUCAUAUUUAUGACAGUUGCAGUGUUCCAGAGUCAUCUUUUGUGACCUUCUGAUGAGGAAGGUCAAUGAGAAACCCAGAUUCACUUAACAACCAUGUUACUAAGUUAACAUCUGUAGUGAUUCACUUAACUGUAGCAAAAAAAAGGUCAUAAAAUAGAGCAAAACUCGCUUCUUGCUUAGUAAUGGAAAUUUUGGGCUUAGUCUAUCUAUGUAUUUACUUUAAUUUUCUACAAGUCAUUGAAGAAAAUGAGUCCAGAGAAUAGUUUUAUAACCCUAGCAUUUGGAAUGUUACUGCAAUGACAGCUUACAAAGCUAAGUAUGUCUAAGGAUCUUAAUAUGGCCCUGAUUGUAUUCAACUACUCUAAAUGGCUCAUAUUACAAGGCAAAUAAAAUUAUAGGUUGUGAUGAAUUUUCUUCCUUUAAAAAAAAAAGACCCAGAUUAGUCAGGCUAAAAAUCUACAGAAAUAUACAUAUCACAUUCUUUUUCUCUAUUAUAGGGCUAUGCAGCAUUCUCUGGGCCUGGAGCUACACUGGAAGCAUGCCACAUGUUGCAUUUCAAAAUAUAGUAGUUGAAGUAGGAUAAACAGCAUUUAUUUCACUGCUAUUUCCAUUGAGUUAAAUAGAUUAGAUUUCUUUCCAGUCUUGAAUUUAGUAUUUUUCCUUCCAUCUCUUUAAAAAUGCCAAUUUAAAAAUAACUUCUGAAAGUUUCUGAAGGCCACAGUUGAAACUUUUUGGGGCCCAGCCUGAAGUUUUCAAGCGCUUUAGGUUAAAACUUAGCUUUACGUGAAGGACAUGUUAACAUGACAUCUCGGGGGGGGGGGGAAUCUGAUUUUUCCUCCUACAGAUGCUGUGAAGCAUCUCUGAGUCACCUUUUUUAAAGUGACUUUGUAAAGUUUAUAUGAUUUUUUUUCAAAAGUUAAGAUUCCUUUUUAUUUACAGGCAGUCUUCAAGUUACAACAGCAAUGGGUACCAAAAUUUCUGUCACUAAGCAACGCAAUCAUAAAGUGUGAUAAAGUCACAAUUUCUGAUUACUUCAGUGUAAUGUAAAGGUUAAGGUGAUGGAUUGGGACUUGCGAAGUUCAGGUUCAGAUUUCUAUGCAAUUUCAGCCCUUCAUAAUCUAACCUACUCGCAGAGUUGUUCUUCAUACAAUAAAGAAUUGCACCAAAUGCCAUCUUGAAUGCCCAGAACAGAACUGCACACAUGCCUUCAGCUCAAGAAUUGAGAGCCAAACUCCCAAAUUGGAUGGGAACAGGACACUGUGGCCCUGAUUUCUGAGAUGCUACUUUGAAUUGCCUGUCAAGGAUUAGCUCAUUUUACCCUUGAAAGUCUUCUAAGAUGGUCCCAUAAAACCACCCAAAAAGAUGGUUUCAUCCCCUGAGAGAUCCUCCUUGCUACAAAAGAAUUACCGUAUAUACUCGUGUAUAAGCCGAGUUUUUCAGCACAUUUUUUAUGUUGAAAAAGCACCCCUUGGCUUAUACUCAAGUGCGGGUGUUCUCCGGUCUCUCCCGCUCAUCUGCGGGCGCCUGCAGCCUGGUCCGAUAACUGCUGAUAUCGCCGGUCUUCUUUUCUUCUGCACGCCAGCAGCCUCUGUGUUGUUCAUCUUACCUGUGUUUGGUCACGCCUCUUUGCUCCAUCCAAGCAUUGCUGAAUACAAGUACUGGUAUAUCUCUGGUCUUGGAUAUACAGUACGUUUAUUUACAGUACUUAGUCUGCUAUAUUUUAUUUUUGAAAUUUACCAGUAGCUGUUGCAUUUCCCGCCCUAGGCUUAUACUCGAGUCAAUAAGUUUUCCAAGUUUUUUGUGAUAAAAUUAGGUGCUUCGGCUUAUAUUCGGGUCUGCUUAUACUCGAGUGUAUACAGUAACAUGAUAUUGCACUAUUUGUACCUCUGUCCUACAGAAAAGACUGGGUAUAAAUACAGUAACAAUAAAUAUAUUGUUCGUAAAGAUAUUCAAUGGAGUUGAUUAUGUCUUUUGCCUAAUUAGACCAUAUGUACUGUAUCAGACUAUACAUACUGUAUGCAUAUGUGUGUUUGCUUGAAAAUCAAAGGAAACCUUGCAGAAGAAUACCUUUCAGCUUGGAUCUCAAUCUAGUUCUAAACCUAUCCAAUAAACUGUUCUUGUCUGACUGA